AACUAUCAGAACUGCUGGAACGUAGCUCACCUUCGAAGGUGAAGAUGAGGAUUUAGAAAAGUACACGUUUUUAUUUUAAAUGAUUCGAGUUAAAUAUUGGAAGUCUAUUCAAUGACUAAGUUAUUGAGCCUGGAAGUGAGAUAACAGUUGUGGAAACGUCAUGAGGAUUGUUGUACGUGACGUGGUCAAUGAAAGGAGGAGGAUUGUAUUUAAGGUGGGACUCAGAUGCUUCCAGUUCUCUCUGCAACGAAGCAGCAACAUAUGGAUCUGUAAGCAACAUGGGAUUAUUUUUUUGUAAAGGAAGAGGAAGUGAUCAGAAUAUGUAUCGACAGGAAACUAACAACCCUGCUGUGGGUGGAGUCGACCUGUCUUCAGAUCCUGAGUGUGCUGCUGUGGGUGGAGUCGACUCGCCUCCAAAUAUUAACAACCCUGCUGUGGGUGGAGUCGAUUCGCCUCCAAAUACUAACAACCCUGCGCUGGGUGGAGUCAACUCACCUCCAAAUACUAACAACCCUGCUGUGGGUGGAGUCGACUCGCCUCCAAAUAUUAACAACCCUGCUGUGGGUGGAGUCGAUUCGCCUCCAAAUACUAACAACCCUGCUGUGGGUGGAAUCGAUUCGCCUCCAAAUACUAACAACCCUGCGCUGGGUGGAGUCAACUCACCUCCAAAUACUAACAACCCUGCUGUGGGUGGAGUCGACUCGCCUCCAAAUAUUAACAACCCUGCGCUGGGUGGAGUCGAUCAUAUCCAAUAUUUGGACACUGAGCACAGUGCUCUAGGUGGAAUAGAUGUAUAUCCCGAACUCACCCAGAAAGUGGGAUAGAUCCACCUCCCAUAUUAGACCUGUUAGGUCUGAAAUGACAGACAAAGAAGAACCACAACAAGGAAAUUAUCAUUCUGACUCACUGGGCUUCAGAAAACUUUGGUGAUGCUUUUCUCAAAAAAUAAAAAUACAUAAAAAUGUUGUAAUCUGCAAUAAUAGAUCCUUCGAUUAGUUUUAUUUUACUAAUUGUUAAUUGUUGAUGUCUGUGAACUAUUGAAAUCUUAUAUUUUCUAAAUAGAUGUAUAUUUCCUUUCUGAACCAUGUUUUUAUGCUUAAUCUGAGAAUUAUGUAAUGUAUUGAGUCUUUAAAAGAUUUUCACAUAAGUCUGUAGUUGUCUUAAUUUUUCAUCAUGAAUUUUACAGAACAUAAAUAUAUUGGAAAAUAAAAAAGUAAGUGAGGGAAAUUUGUGGAUGUUUUUAAAGCCAGUUGUUCAAUACACCUUAGUUUAAUUUCUUUUUUUGUUUUUAAUUUGCAUUGCUUCAUUUUAGUUUUUGUCCCCUUGCA